rnacentral:rRNA from 1 species
UACGUAGGGGGCAAGCGUUGUCCGGAUUUAUUGGGCGUAAAGAGCGUGUAGGCGGCUAUGCAGGUCCGCUGUGAAAACUCGAGGCUCAACCUCGAGACGUCGGUGGAAACCGCAUGGCUAGAGUCCGGAAGAGGAGAGUGGAAUUCCCGGUGUAGCGGUGAAAUGCGCAGAUAUCAGGAAGAACACCCGUGGCGAAGGCGGCUCUCUGGGACGGUACUGACGCUGAGACGCGAAAGCGUGGGGAGCGAACAGG